CUUUUGGCUUUCCUUAAUUGUUGUGUCUCAUUCUGUGUCCCUGAUCUCGGCAAGUAUUCUGACUAUUCUCUGGUACGUUAAGUCCAGCCAUUCUAAGGCCCGGUAAGAUGUUACCUUUAAUCCUAGGUGUGAUACAGUUCUGCGUGUUGGAUCAACUAGUAAUCCUGACAUCUGUCUAUUGUACUAGUUUGACUUUCAUAAUAAGAAUUUGUGGAAAACAAGCUAUCAAAGCAUUUGUACUGUCUAGGCAGAUGGAAACCAAUGUAUGGACCAAUGCUUCAAGAUGUAGUGUGGCUAGGAGUUAUAAUAGUCUUCUGAGG